rnacentral:lncRNA from 1 species
AAGGUUAUUAUUUAUAUUCAUUUCUGAACUUCUGUUAUUAACAAAAUGUCAUCCUUCCCCUGUUUGAUUCUGAAGGGUCUUGAAGUGGUGAAUGACAAGCUAAUGAAUGCAUCUUAUGGCUCCCUGUGAUGUGCUUGUAAUAGAUGAAAAUCAUAAAGUAUUAUGCAAAUAGUAAUUUUUUUGUGAUGGUAAUAUACAAACUCUACCUUUGAGAUAAGUAGAACAAUUCAAAUAAGACCAAAGCAAAGUAUUAGAGUUAAAAUUAAUGAUCUUGAGAUAAAGUCAUUAAUAAUGAUCUAAAUAAAAUAUAAAGUAGUUGCUUUCUGAAAUCCAAGAAUAAACCCAUGUAUUUAAACACUAAACAAAUAAAAUAGUAGGUAACAAAUAGAAAUUCUUAUGUCUGUAAAUAUCCAAAUUAAAGAAUUAUAGGUUAUGAAAGAGGCAAAACUAAUUGUAUUAAAGUACUCUGUUUGGAGAGUCCUGCUUAUGUUUAUUUUGCCAAAUCUAGUAACAAAAUUUCUGAAGAUCCGGUAACUUAAUAUUUUCUUCUAUGAAAAAUAGGUUUUGAUUCAAACUACCAGAUUUUCUUAGGCCUCCUACUCCUCUAAGAAAUUGGCAAUUCUAGAGUGAAAUUUGAUGAGAUUUUUUCCCCUCAGGAAUCUUGAAAGGCUUUUGCCAUAUAUAAAGAAAUGGUGUGUGUUUUAAAAAGUAACAUAAAGCCAGCUGGCAUAGGGUGUGUAAGUGCAUGCACUGUAUUAGAGCACACACGUGUGCUGAGCUCGUUCAUUUGCUUUACGUUGUAAGCUCUUCAUUGAUUGCCUCUUUCUGAGUUAAUUUAAUGUUGUCCUCAGUUGUGAAAUAUGAACAUUUUGCUAUUUUUCUCUCUGUUUAGAGAUACUCUUCAAUUACCCUUUUGAAAGUUUAUUAUCUGGCUAAUAUUUCUAGAGGUUGAAGUUCUCUGUACUACUCUACCCCAUUUGAAAUUUAUUUUUUCUAAGAGUCUUUAUGGGAACUUACUCCUAAACUUAACUGCAUAGAGUGAAAAUGCAUUAAGAUUUAGGCUUCCACAGCAAUCUUUGAAUGUUGAUUUUGGGGAAAGUUCUCAAUCCCUGUUUAGCUGAACUAAACAGUGUUAAUUUAUGGCUCUGAUUGUUUUCCGUUCUGUCAGUUACCUUAUGGUGCAUAAGGUAUCAGAAUCAGAGAAUGAGUAGCAAAGUUACUUAAUCAGUAAUUUAGUUUAGAAAUUUAUAAAUUUAUGUUCAAAGGUUAUAUUUUCUCAGAUAUUAUUGCCAUGAACAUAAAGAACAUUAAAUAAGUAAGAUGUAUAAAGUAGGUUAGUGAAUUUCUAACUAUAUAUAAAGUUUGAUGUGUGCUUAUUGAAUUGAAAAUUAACUGAUUUAUUCUGGUUUACAUUUUGAAAAGAAUAAUUAUGAUGUAUACAUUGGAUAAAUAUUGAAAGAUAAUGGCAUUCUUUUUAAUUAUUUUACUUGUGAUGUGGGUUAUAUGUGAACUAAGGAAACAAAACUUAGCUCCAUGAAACAAAUUAAUUGU